rfam:Desulfotomaculum acetoxidans DSM 771, complete genome.
GGUCAAGCAAAAAAGAGCAUACGGUGAAUGCCUAGGUGCUGCAGGCCGAAGAAGGACGCGGCAAGCUGCGAAAAGCUACGGGAAGCCGCAAGCAGGCAACGAUCCGUGGAUAUCCGAAUGGGGCAACCCGGCGAGGCAAACCCUCGUCACCUGUAACCGAAUACAUAAGUUACAGGAGGGCACCAGGGGAACUGAAACAUCUUAGUACCCUGAGGAAAAGAAAGCAACAGCGAUUCCCCGAGUAGCGGCGAGCGAAAAGGGACCAGCCAAAACCUAAACUGCUUGCAGAUUAGGGGUAGCGGGACACUCAUCACAAACCAUUGCUUUAGCCGAAGCGGCCUGGAAAGGCCCGUUAUAAAAGGUAACAACCCUGUAGGCGAAAAGGCGAGAAGUUUAGAGUGGAUCCCAAGUACCGCGGGACACGAGGAACCCCGUGGGAAACAGGGAGGACCACCUCCCAAGGCUAAAUACCUGCAGCGACCGAUAGUGAUUAGUACCGUGAGGGAAAGGUGAAAAGCACCCCGGAAGGGGAGUGAAAAAGAACCUGAAACCGUAUGCUUACAAGCCAGUCGAAGCACGUUAAAAGUGUGACGGCGUACUUUUUGUAGAACGGACCGGCGAGUUACAUCUAAUGGGCAAGGUUAAGUCUCAAAAGACGGAGCCGAAGCGAAAGCAAGUCUUAAUAGGGCGUCAAGUCCAUUGGAGUAGACCCGAAACCGGGUGAUCUACCCAUGUUCAGAGUGAAGCUUUAGUAAAAUAAAGUGGAGGCUCGAACCGACCUUCGUUGAAAAGGAGGCGGAUGAAACGUGGGUAGGGGUGAAAUGCCAAUCGAACCCGGAGAUAGCUGGUUCUCCUCGAAAUAGCUUUAGGGCUAGCCUUGAGAAAAAAAUCCGGAGGUAGAGCACUGACUGGGCUAGGGGCCUUCACCGGUUACCGAACUCAAUCAAACUCCGAAUGCCGGAUUAAAGAAUACUCAAGAGUCAGACUAUGGGUGCUAAGGUUCAUAGUCAAAAGGGAAACAGCCCAGACCGUCGGCUAAGGUCCCAAAGACAUGCUAAGUGGAAAAGGAUGUGGGGUUGCACAGACAACCAGGAUGUUGGCUUAGAAGCAGCCACCAUUCAAAGAGUGCGUAAUAGCUCACUGGUCAAGUGGCCCUGCGCCGAAAAUGUAACGGGGCUAAAGCAUGUCACCGAAGCCACGGCAGGAGGACAAAUUCUAAGUAUACUCUGUAGAGUACAGCUAAAAUUUGUCCUCCUGGGUAGAGGAGCGUUCCAUAUGCGGCGAAGUCGUACCGUAAGGAGCGGUGGAGCGUAUGGAAGUGAGAAUGCCGGUAUAAGUAAGCGAAAAGGCAGGUGAGAAUCCUGUCCGCCGAAAACCUAAGGAUUCCUGGGGAAGGCUCGUCCGCCCAGGGUAAGCCGGGACCUAAGCCGAGGCCGAAAGGCGUAGGCGAUGGACAAUAGGUUGAAAAUCCUAUGCCACCAAAAGUCGUUAUCAGGAUGGGGUGACACAGGAGGGUAGGCCAAGCGCGCGGAUGGAAAAGCGCGUCCAAGCUCGUAGGGCGUCAGGCAGGCAAAUCCGUCUGACACAAAGCCUGAGAAGUGAUGGGGAGGGAAAACAAGUACCGAAGUGGUUGAACCCAUACUGUCAAGAAAAACCUCUAACGAGACUCAUUGGUGCCCGUACCGCAAACCGACACAGGUAGGUAGGGUGAGAAUCCUAAGGCGCGCGAGAGAACCCUCGUUAAGGAACUCGGCAAAAUGACCCCGUAACUUAGGGAGAAGGGGUGCCUCACUAGCGUGAAGAUUUAACAUUCGGAGCGUGAAGAGGCCGCAGAGAAAAGGCCCAAGCGACUGUUUACCAAAAACACAGGUUCCUGCUAAAUCGCUAAGAUGAAGUAUAGGAGCUGACGCCUGCCCGGUGCCGGAAGGUUAAGAGGAGAGGUCAGGGGAAACUCGAAGCUUUGAAUUGAAGCCCCGGUAAACGGCGGCCGUAACUAUAACGGUCCUAAGGUAGCGAAAUUCCUUGUCAGGUAAGUUCUGACCCGCACGAAAGGCGUAACGAUUUGGGCACUGUCUCAACGAGGGGCUCGGUGAAAUUGAAUUGCCGGUAAAGAUGCCGGCUAACUGCGAUAGGACAGAAAGACCCCGUGGAGCUUUACUGCAGCUUGAUAUUGGAUUUUGGUAUUGCAUGUACAGGAUAGGUGGGAGGCGGAGAAGCCAGGGCGCCAGCCUUGGCGGAGCCAACGUUGGGAUACCACCCUUGCAGUAUUGAAGUUCUAACAUACGGCCUUGAAUCAGGCCGGUGGACAUUGUCAGGCGGGCAGUUUGACUGGGGCGGUCGCCUCCCAAAAAGUAACGGAGGCGCCCAAAGGUUCCCUCAGCGCGGUUGGAAAUCGCGCUCACAGAGUGCAAAGGCAAAAGGGAGCUUGACUGCGAGACAUACAGGUCGAGCAGGGACGAAAGUCGGGCUUAGUGAUCCGGCGGUAUCGAGUGGAAGAGCCGUCGCUCAACGGAUAAAAGCUACCCCGGGGAUAACAGGCUUAUCUCCCCCAAGAGUUCACAUCGACGGGGAGGUUUGGCACCUCGAUGUCGGCUCAUCGCAUCCUGGGGCUGUAGUAGGUCCCAAGGGUUGGGCUGUUCGCCCAUUAAAGCGGUACGUGAGCUGGGUUCAGAACGUCGUGAGACAGUUCGGUCCCUAUCCAUCGCAGUCGCAGGAAACUUGCAAGGAGCUGUCCCUAGUACGAGAGGACCGGGAUGGACGGAUCACUGGUGUACCGGUUGUCGCGCCAGCGGCAAUGCCGGGUAGUUAUAUCCGGAAGGGAUAAGCGCUGAAAGCAUCUAAGCGCGAAGCCCACCUUAAGAUUAGGUUUCCCUUCGUAAGAAUAAGACCCCUGGAAGACCACCAGGUAGAUAGGCCGGGUGUGUAAGCAUAGUAAUGUGUUUAGCUGACCGGUACUAAUAGGUCGAACGCUUGACCUA